GAUAUUGGACAAGGGGCGAGAGCCUGACCCAGCCAGGCCGCGUGAGUGCAGAAGGUAUUCGGAUUGUAAAGCACUUUAAGUUGGGAGGAAGGGCAGUAAGUUACUACCUUGCUGUUUUGACGUUACCGACAGAAUAAGCACCGGCUAACUUCGAGCCAGCAACCGCGGUAAUACGAAGGGUGCAAGCGUUAAACGGAAUUACUGGGCGUAAAGCGCGCGUAGGUGUUUCGUUAAAUUGGAAAUGAAAACCCCGGGCUCACAAUGGGGACUGCUUACCAAACUGGCAAGCUCGAGUAUGGCCGAGGGUGGUGGGAAUUCCUGUGUAGCGGUGAAAUGCGCAGAUAUAGGAAGGAACACCAGUGGCGAAGGCGACCACCUGGGCUAAUACUGACACUGAGGUGCGAAAGCGUGGGGAGCAAACA
rnacentral:rRNA from 1 species